GUGGAUGUGCCUGGAGUGGUUAUCGGGCAUGACUAGAAAUCAUGUGGGUUCUGCCCGCGCAGGUUCGAAUCCUGCCAUUCACG
rnacentral:tRNA from 1 species